rnacentral:rRNA from 1 species
AUGAACGCUGGCGGCGUGCCUCAUACAUGCAAGUCGAGCGAACGGACGAGAAGCUUGCUUCUCUGAUGUUAGCGGCGGACGGGUGAGUAACACGUGGAUAACCUACCUAUAAGACUGGGAUAACUUCGGGAAACCGGAGCUAGUACCGGAUAAUAUUUUGAACCGCAUGGUUCAAAAGUGAAAGACGGUCUUGCUGUCACUUAUAGAUGGAUCCGCGCUGCAUUAGCUAGUUGGUAAGGUAACGGCUUACCAAGGCAACGAUGCAUAGCCGACCUGAGAGGGUGAUCGGCCACACUGGAACUGAGACACGGUCCAGACUCCUACGGGAGGCAGCAGUAGGGAAUCUUCCGCAAUGGGCGAAAGCCUGACGGAGCAACGCCGCGUGAGUGAUGAAGGUCUUCGGAUCGUAAAACUCUGUUAUUAGGGAAGAACAUAUGUGUAAGUAACUGUGCACAUCUUGACGGUACCUAAUCAGAAAGCCACGGCUAACUACGUG